GCGGAGAAACGAAGUCUGAAAACAGAUUUAAACAGAGUUUGAGCUGUUGCUUCUGUUUGCCAGUACUGUGAGAAAACGUUGUUACCGAAGAGGUCUGGAAGUUAAAAAAAAAAACAAAAAACUCCGGAGCUGCUUUAUUGUCGAACACGAGUGAGACUGGACGCUGAACACACUUGCAGCGCGAAGGUUUACUUGUUCAGCUGCUGUAGCCUGGACAGAAACACCAGCUCUCACCUUACAAACCAACAGGUGUCACCACUUCGUCCACAAUUACAGAGAGUCUUCAUACAAUGAAGAAGUUCUUGGAGACCAGGACAGAGGCCUCCAGGAUUCAAACUUCAGACAGACUUGACAGACAGAUGUGAAGACAUUUGCAGACGGUCUUCAGCUGCUGUCAUCUUCUCCUUAUCACAGAAAUCACAGAAUCGCAGAAACUGAUCAGUAAAUCUAUUUUUCCUUUCCUAAACUGUCCUUAUUCAUUUUUGAUAAUUAAUUACAAUUACAUACUAUGCUAUGGCAUUUUCUUAAUGACAUAAUAUCCUGUGGCAUUUUUUAAUGACAGAAUGCAUUUUUCGCGGCAUAGUAUAAUAU